rnacentral:rRNA from 1 species
UACGAAGGGGGCUAGCGUUGCUCGGAAUGACUGGGCGUAAAGGGCGCGUAGGCGGUUUGGACAGUCAGAUGUGAAAUUCCUGGGCUCAACCUGGGGGGCUGCAUUUGAUACGUUCGGACUAGAGUGGGGAAGAGGGUCGUGGAAUUCCCAGUGUAGAGGUGAAAUUCGUAGAUAUUGGGAAGAACACCGGUGGCGAAGGCGGCGACCUGGUCCUUGACUGACGCUGAGGCGCGAAAGCGUGGGUAGCAAACGGG